CUUGUACCCAAUCUAAAUCUCCACUUUUACUUUGAAAUAAUCUCCCUUGUCCUGUCAGAACAUACCCUGCUAAAGGGUCUGACCCUUCUUUCUUACAGCCCCUUUAAAUACUCAAAGUCCAUCCUCAGCUCUCCCCCCAGUCUUCUCCAAGUUAUGCACGUCAGCUCUCUCAGCCUGUCCUCACAGGGCAGAUAUUCCAUCCCUUGGAUCAUUUUUGUGGCCCAGUAAUGGAAAUGAAAGUACAGCAAUAACAGCAGAGUAGUACAACCCUAGGCUACAGGGAAUGAGAACAAGCUCAAACGCAGCCACCAAAGACACAAAAACAAAGGAAGAAAAGGUGCUUACCUUUGGAAGACCUCAAGUAGACAGGGAUCUCCAGCAAGGUACCUGCACCUCCACUGGCUGCCCUUAAAUGAGGUCUGGGAAGGGGUGGAUCCUGGCUCCACCUCAGGUACAUUGCAUGCACCUGAGCUCCCCUGGGUUGGCCCUCCCUUCCCACCAGGUAUUCAACCACUGCUUCAGGCUGAGACUCAGCAUUUCUACUACAGGCCCUCAUGAAAUCAACACGCAAAGUGUUUACACAAAUACUGCCAUCUCACCAUUUACAGUGAUGGAUACAAGUAUCUCAUAACACGUGAUCUCUGCAACAUGCACAAAGGGGAGAAAGUUGCCUUGAGCUUAUCAAAUGAGAAUUACAGAUGUUGGAUAAAGUCUCCCUCCUGUAACUGAAACAGCAGCAUGACUAACGAGUGUUUUACUCCAGUGAUCUAAUGCCUAUGCAGGGGGCAUCCGAAGUCACAGGAGCUACAGUUCUACAAGACAGUUAAGCUACAGAGAUCACAGAAUGUUUUGAGUUGGAAGGAACACUUAAAGGUCAUCAUGUCCAACUCCCCUGCAAUGAACAGGUUCAUCUACAGCUACAUGAAGUAAUAUUCAGGUAAUAAAGAGAAGAUUGAACUUACAUAAAAUUAAGCAUAGUGUGGUUACUUUGGAGAAGACAGGAAUAAAUAAUUCCUUUUUCUCUCUGGCAGAAGUAUAUGAUUUGGAAGGAUAAAACUUACCUGUGGUGUAUUCAUAACAAGGUGGAGUACCUAUGGUAUAAUCAUGACUCUCCAUUGUCAAAGACAGACAAAGGAGGAGUCAAAUUAGAAGCAGAAGUUUAUGGUGGGAAAGGCACUGAACAGCAUCAAGCAAGGCUACAAGACUAGGAAUAGCAGCAACAACAGUAAUAAAAGAGCAUGGAACUGAGAAAACUGAGAAAGCAUACAUACCAUGGGAGGGGGUAAGAGCUAACAAAGACUUUGUGAGGGACAGUGGCCAAGAAAACAAGCACAAUGAAAAACAGCAGGGGGCCUAGCUGACUUUGCAAGAAUUUAAAAUAAGGAAAAAACAGGAAAAAAUGAGAAUCUCUGUGCUGUAGACAGAGCAUUUGUUGGGACAGCAAUGAAGCAUGUUUGCUCUGUACACCGCAAGAAAGUCCUUGGCACACAACUAAGUACUGCAUGGUCAUCUUGCUUACAGCAGCAAUCUCUUCAGAAUGUUCACUCUGUCUUCAAGUUGUUCAACAGGAAAGUUGUGACUAUUAGCAUCUGGGCUAAUGUCAUUCUACAGAUUGGGAUCUGAUGGCUCAUUUUCCCAUAUGUCAUUCACAAUGCCAGUAAAAGAAAUGAACUCACAGACACACAGUAUGCUCCUCCCUUCUUAUUUCCCUGCAAAUAGGUAUCAGGAUCCCUGCAGUCUUACAACAGCCAGCAGAAACAGUCCGGCCAGCUGGCAGGCAGCAGCACCUGCCCAGAAGAAGCACAACAUGGCAGUUGCUCUUUUGCUGGCUGCUGUCAGGGGCAGCCUACAAACCAGUGGACUGAAGUUCUAACUUAAGAUGCAGGAUUGGGUACACAGAGAUCUCUGGUGACCAGGGCAUUCACAGUUUCCCUGCUUCUUGCAAAAGCAAAACCUUGUGAAACUCAAGUUAUUGAAUGGUCUUUGAAUUUAUAUCAAGAAAUUAUCUCCAGAACAGCUCAUCUUGGCUGUAUUUAACAAACUUAAU